CAGGCAAAGCAAAGGAGACCCUCAAAGGCUGCCUUACUGCAAUUUAGCUCCACAGCUGCUAGGAGAUCUGCCACAGUAAGAGCAGAUGCUUCUCUUCAGAAAUUUUUCAGGAAGACCAACUGCCUGAUUCCUAAGCCCAUGAAGCUUGUAGAUGUGAUCUCUUCAUUUGAAUGAACUUUUGAUCAAGCUCCCACUGAACAAUGAAUACAAAACUGCAGUGAUCUGAAACUCUCUGCAAAGAGAAAAAGCGUAAGAGAUGUUUCCCUCCUUUUCAGGUCCCCAGGCACUAUUGUCUAUAGGAAGGAAAACCAGCCCUGGGCCCUACCAGGACAAGGCACUGACAGGCCAAGGUAUCUGUAUAACCUCCAGUGUGCCUGCAAGUGCAACAGUUUUGAUAAGAGGCUUCUUAUGGAUAGAGGAGUCUGUUUUCAGGAUACACCCACCUGUUCAAGCAUAUGGCUCCCAUUAACUUCACAAAGCCUACAAGGAAUUAAUAUUGUACUUUUUGGGAAAUGUUGCUCUUUACAUCUCCUGCACAAGGGAUGAGGACACUCAGCUAGUUAGUGUUCAUUUGCAGGCUUAAACUCUUUAUUGUAAUCAAGCUGCCAUAAAACUGAUGGAUAGUGUGGGAAAUGGAUUUAUAGAAAAUUCUCAAAGCCUGACGAGGCUCACGUAGUGUGUAUCUAUAUGCAAACUGUGAGAUAACAAAUGCUGACUUAGAAAUGUCAUAGAAUAGGACAGACGUUGUUGAGAGAGAAAUGGAGCUAGAAAAGUUUCAAAAGAUAACCUUAAAAAUAAGACUAGAUACUUUAGUGAAAUAGAACAAUGAAAAAUGCAUUAUAGUAAGACCCAUGCGAAGUAAUUUUAGAUGAUUGGCUUUAAAGCAUUUACAGCAUAGUGUAGCAAAAACUAAUAAGCUAAGAAAUGCUUAUAAUGUAUUGUAAUUAAGAAGUAAUUAAUUUCUGAUUGUGAUGUUGUGAAUUAUAACACCUGCAUUGUCUCACCCUUCACAUGAGACUAAGAAUAGAAUUAAAGUUUUUAAAAUGCCUCUCAGUUACCCCAUCUCUAAGUCAAAAAAGAGCUUAAUCUGACAAAGGUAGAUGUCUGCGUAGAGAACCGUGAAAAUAACCAAUAUCUGAAAAAAAAACUCAAGAAAUACAUAGUCUGGGAAAGAUACCCCUUGUGUAAAGCACAAAUUCUGUGUGCUAAUAAGUUUUUUAGCAAACAGGUCCAAGCAAGUGCUUAGUUUUGUCUUCCUCCGUGUACAAGAUCCCUUUCCCAAACAGCAUUUCUACAUGGUUCACAUCAAAAGUCCAGUCAUGAUGAAUGCAAAAAUCAUGACUGUUUGCCAAACAAUGAGUAAUGGCAGUAAGUAUUCCAAAUUAACAUAAAUAUGCUUUACAAAGUAGUGGUUUGAACUUUUAAGAUGAGCCACACUGUCUGAAGGUGACACAGAGUUGAAACUGGGUGUGCCUCCCUGCUUAAAGGAAAACAGUCCUUUCCAGCCAGUGCAGAUUGUCAAGCCCAGCAGUGUACACAAACAUAUCCUCCAGGUACUUAAACAUGCAUGUUUAAAUAACAAGUAUGUAUGGAACUUAAGCACAUAACUUCUUUGGUUCUAACAGCAAUCAUAGAAAACAGCAUACUUCACACCAAUAUUUCAAGAACUGAUCCCAAGUCCUGCUAAAUUGUCAUUUCCUUACCUUCUUGAAGUACUAUAAUGAAUGGGUUUUUGCAUGUUACCACUAGUUCAGUUUUGAAAAUUUAGCUAUAUACUGCAGAUCUUUCAGAAGCACCAGUUUUAUCUGAGUGUUUUGUUGUUGUUGUUGUUUUUUGCUUUAAUAAAGAGGUUGGGAAGAUCUGAUCUUCCAGAGCCUGGUCUACUUGUGCUAUGAAUGAAGUAUUUUAUAGUUCUAAGCGCCCAAAGAUUAAUAUAAAGUUAAAGAAGUCAUUAUUGUAUUAGACUCCAAAUAUGUAUUUCCUACAUGAACUCCAUCUUGUCACAGCACUCACUAAGCAAAAUUUAACAUUCAUAUUUCAUCACAGACAUCUGUCUCUUGACUAACCAAGUUUCAGAUGAUUCUUAGUUCCACAUGAAGGCCUACUUUCUGUUUUAGGUUUUAUGAAUUUGUAUAUAAUGAGUGGACUUUGGAUGACAAGGGUUAUGAAUCAUUGCAAUGUUGUUUCUGUUCUGCCAGAUGAGAGGAAAGAGAACAAAUAGCCAAAUAAAUAUUCCUGUGUCAAUGCUAAUGUU